UAUCUACAGGCUUAACACAUGCAAGUCGAGGGGCAUCAGGAAGAAAGCUUGCUUUCUUUGCUGGCGACCGGCGCACGGGUGAGUAACACGUAUCCAACCUGCCCUUUACUCGGGGAUAGCCUUUCGAAAGAAAGAUUAAUACCCGAUGGCAUAAUGAUUCCGCAUGGUUUCAUUAUUAAAGGAUUCCGGUAAAGGAUGGGGAUGCGUUCCAUUAGGUUGUUGGUGAGGUAACGGCUCACCAAGCCUUCGAUGGAUAGGGGUUCUGAGAGGAAGGUCCCCCACAUUGGAACUGAGACACGGUCCAAACUCCUACGGGAGGCAGCAGUGAGGAAUAUUGGUCAAUGGGCGCUAGCCUGAACCAGCCAAGUAGCGUGAAGGAUGAAGGCUCUAUGGGUCGUAAACUUCUUUUAUAUAAGAAUAAAGUGCAGUAUGUAUACUGUUUUGUAUGUAUUAUAUGAAUAAGGAUCGGCUAACUCCGUGCCAGCAGCCGCGGUAAUACGGAGGAUCCGAGCGUUAUCCGGAUUUAUUGGGUUUAAAGGGAGCGUAGGUGGACUGGUAAGUCAGUUGUGAAAGUUUGCGGCUCAACCGUAAAAUUGCAGUUGAUACUGUCAGUCUUGAGUACAGUAGAGGUGGGCGGAAUUCGUGGUGUAGCGGUGAAAUGCUUAGAUAUCACGAAGAACUCCGAUUGCGAAGGCAGCUCACUGGACUGCAACUGACACUGAUGCUCGAAAGUGUGGGUAUCAAACAGGAUUAGAUACCCCUGGUAGUCCACACAGUAAACGAUGAAUACUCGCUGUUUGCGAUAUACAGUAAGCGGCCAAGCGAAAGCAUUAAGUAUUCCACCUGGGGAGUACGCCGGCAACGGUGAAACUCAAAGGAAUUGACGGGGGCCCGCACAAGCGGAGGAACAUGUGGUUUAAUUCGAUGAUACGCGAGGAACCUUACCCGGGCUUAAAUUGCAGUGGAAUGAUGUGGAAACAUGUCAGUGAGCAAUCACCGCUGUGAAGGUGCUGCAUGGUUGUCGUCAGCUCGUGCCGUGAGGUGUCGGCUUAAGUGCCAUAACGAGCGCAACCCUUAUCUUUAGUUACUAACAGGUUAUGCUGAGGACUCUAGAGAGACUGCCGUCGUAAGAUGUGAGGAAGGUGGGGAUGACGUCAAAUCAGCACGGCCCUUACGUCCGGGGCUACACACGUGUUACAAUGGGGGGUACAGAAGGCAGCUAGCGGGUGACCGUAUGCUAAUCCCAAAAGCCUCUCUCAGUUCGGAUCGAAGUCUGCAACCCGACUUCGUGAAGCUGGAUUCGCUAGUAAUCGCGCAUCAGCCACGGCGCGGUGAAUACGUUCCCGGGCCUUGUACACACCGCCCGUCAAGCCAUGGGAGCCGGGGGUACCUGAAGUACGUAACCGCAAGGAUCGUCCUAGGGUAAAACUGGUGACUGGGGCUA
rnacentral:rRNA from 1 species